CAAUAUAUUAAGGACUAAUAAAAUAAACAAUAAAUAUUAAUGAUUAGGAAAUCAAACGCACCAAGAUAAUCAAAUUGAUAAACAAACUAUAGAUAAAUGACAGAAAUAUUGAAUCAACAAAAUUGCAACUCAUUCAAAAAGUUAUCAAUUUACACUUAAAGAAUUAUUUACCACAAAACAUACUGUAGCGUUAGCAUUUGUUGCUCCUGUUAAUAACGACUUCUGAUCUCGAUGAACUCAAAAAGUUCGAACCAACAUAAUAUAGCGAGUGCUUUUGAUCAUUCAAGAAUUAGAAAUGAAUGCUAACAAUACUACAUUACAAUUACGAAUUACUAUAUGUCACAUGUUCUGAUUACCUAUCGUCUUACAAAUGAUAACAAUACGAUGUAGAUCCACUAAUAAAUUUUUUAAUUUAUUA